rnacentral:rRNA from 1 species
GACGAACGCUGGCGGCGUGCUUAACACAUGCAAGUCGAACGGUAAGGCCCUUCGGGGUACACGAGUGGCGAACGGGUGAGUAACACGUGGGUGAUCUGCCCUGCACUUCGGGAUAAGCCUGGGAAACUGGGUCUAAUACCGGAUAGGACUCCUGUCUUCAUGGUUGGGGGUGGAAAGCUUUUGCGGUGUGGGAUGGGCCCGGGGCCUAUUAGCUUGUUGGUGGGGUAAUGGCCUACCAAGGCGACGAGGGGUAGCCGGCCUGAGAGGUGUGACCGGUCACACUGGGACUGAGAUACGGCCCAGACUCCUACGGGAGGCAGCAGUGGGGAAUAUUGCACAAUGGGCGCAAGCCUGAUGCAGCGACGCCGCGUGAGGGAUGACGGCCUUCGGGUUGCAAACCUCUUUCAGCUAUGACGAAGCGCAAGUGACGGUAGUAGCAGAAGAAGGACCGGCCAACUACGUGCCAGCCGCCGCCGUAA